GGCUUCCUCGGGGCAUAAAGUUUGGACUCUAAUUCACUUUUCACUCUGGAUAGUUAAGAUUGAUUUGCCCCAGGGGCUUUGGGGAGGAUGGCUCUUGUGUCAACAUGGCAGGAUAGUACCCAGGCUGCAGGGUCACCUCUGAAGCCCCUCGGUUAUAAAUAGCUUCAAAACUGCCUUAACAGCUGGCAGUCGGCCAAUGGAGAGGAAAACAGAUUGAGGUGAGCUGCAGGAAGUAGAUCACGGUAGGAAGGAGGAGACCUAAGAGGAAAGAGUCAUAUGGAAAAAUAAACAAGGGCAUUUUAGGGUACCAGAAGAGAAAAGCAGUAUUUCCAUGUUGCUAUUUUAGUAUUAGGCUUCUCGACCAUUCCACUCUCUCUACCCCGUACCUGUCGAGGAAAGGAAGAGCCGGCGGGAGUCAGUGAGAAGGAUUAGUCCAUAUGAGCUCCCUCUCUGCUGCCCCCAUCAUUCCAGUCUUCAAUGAUAGGGUGAAAAACCAAUGUAAAAGAAAACCUCAUGAACAACUAUUCUUCACAGCUUACAGAGGAAUAAUAAAAAUUGACCAUUGGAAGACCCUAACAUAUGAAAGAAAUCCUUCAUGGGCAAUCUGGGAAAAUAUCAACAAAAAUAUCACAGGAUGAAAAAAGUGAAAGGAAUGUAAUGUGCAUUAAUACAGGAUUUAUCAACCACAUGUGAUCCAUAAAAAUAAUUGUGACUGUAAGUAUUUUCUCUCCUUUGUCUAAAUUUUUUCAUUUGAAUGUAAAAUAAUACUGGCAUUUAUUUAUUUAUAUGUCUAUAGGUAGAGAUGAGAUGUUUUUAAGAUGUAACAUUCCAAAAAAAGGACAUUUUAUGAUAUUCCCAGAAUAAGAGCCAGCUAUACAAAAAUGCUAGAUGACUGUUUGUUGAAUGAAUGAGUGAAAAUUUGAUCCUUAGUGUUUUCCAAUUCACAAUUCAAAUAAUCCACACAAUGUAAAGUGAAUUCGAGCUAAGACACUUAAUAGUCAAACUUGGAAUUUCCAACUACCACAUGUUUUGAAUAUUUGAUGGAUUUUUUUUUUGAAACCACAGAUAAAAGAGGAGGAGGAAGAGGAGGAGGAGGCUCCAGGUACAAAUCUAGUUUGUUUCACAAUGUUCUCAAAUAUAGCAACUAAACUGGAAUAAGAAAAGAAGAAUUAGGUUAUGUAAACUUAUUGUCUAUAUGCUUUUUUGCAAUGCUACAAAAUGAUCUCCUUUAUGCUUUCUUGUUUCACAUUGUGGAACAUUUUUCUAGAUGAGUAUUUGUGUAAUAAGGAAAAAUUGCUGGAACCAAGAACCUUUGGAAAAUGCUCAGCUUGUACAAAUAUGCUUUAGUAAAACAAAGAAUCAAGUAGUAAGUUCAUAAUGAUAUGCCAUUUUUACAUACUGAAAAGUUUUGCAAAUUGUAUUUACUGGAAUCACUGCAUUAGUUAAAUUAAUUCUUCUUUGGCUUCAAUACAACAAUAAUCUUGAAGUCUCUCAGAGAAAUGUAUUGCAUUUGAGGAUAAAAAAUAUAAUGAGCAGAAGGAGCCAAUUUAUCUCUGAAUGUGGAAUGUGAUAAUGAAAGAAAGGUACCUAUUUAUUCCUUAAUACCUUUAAAGAUCUUAUUUGUCCUAUGGUCUAUUU
ensembl:lncRNA